UUCUUCAGCUGAAGCUGAGCCUUUUUUUUCUUUUCUAAAGCAAUCAUAGGAUGAAGCCUGUGCCUAUUUUUGUCUGGUGACGAUAUAUUGGAACAAACAUUCUAUUUAUUUACAAUUUUAACUGCAUUUCAUGCUUUUAUAAUACAACUCUGUUACUACAGAAAGCACUACAAGUUAGUGUUAAUGUACAGUUAUACAUACAGUACACUAGACAUGUAAUUAUCUUGUAGAUUAUCACAGAGUUCCCAUUGCUGACUGACCAUAUGUCUUAUGUUUUGACAAACUCUACAUGUUCUAAACACAGCUGCAUCUGAUGCAUUUCUUUCCUGUCUUUUUACAUUUGCACAUGUGGUCUGUUUUUGCAAAUGUCUGGUAAAAUUCAGCCCUACUCAGACAGUAAUUAUAACUUUGUCUUAUUUUAUGAGAUUAGAUUUGAUGACACAUAAGCCCCUUUCACACAGUAAUAUCUGUAAAUUGCCAUAAAAUUACCGGAACGACUUUACCUGUAUUUUUUAAAAGAUCCUUUUCACACAUGAUCUCUUUAUGGCAAUUUACCGGUUAUUUUCCGGAAAAGUCUGUAUGUGUGAAAGGGCUUAUAGUGUAUGAAGUGUGUUUGUGUAUACACUAUUGUUCAAAAGUUUGAGGUCAAGAAAUGAAUGCUUUUAUUUGCCAAGGAUGCAUUAAAUUGUCCCAAGUCAGAAGGAAGACAUUAAAUACAAAUAUAAAACUACUUUUUUUGUGGUAAGUUUCACAAAAUGACUGUUACUGUAUUUUUGAUCAAAUAAAUGUAGCCUUGGUUAUCAUCAGAGAUUUUAAAUCUGUAUACUGCCUGUUUUAACAGUCUACAUCAGGGCUAUUCAAUUUGCUUCAUUUGAGGACCGGAUUAUCUCAUUUAAAAAUUAAAGGGGGAUGGGGGGCCAUCCUGAUAUCUUUCCGAAGGGGGGCUAUACAAUUAGGAAUUAAAGCGAAAUGCAAAUUCAACAGUAAAAUGAACUAAUAUUACCAACAUCAACAUCUAUAAAAGGUUAACAUUAGUGCUGUCUGUCGAUUGUCGAGUUUUCUCUCAACUCUUGAUCAUUUAGGACUUUAUAAGUCUAUUAAGACCGUGGUCACUCGCCAAAAUUGCUCAUUUUUACACAAUUGUGUGUUUGUUUGUUUUUUCCUUUGAAGCGCUACUGGCGCGCUGUCUGAAGCAGCUUACAGCACAUGCAUACAGCCGAUCAUCUUCAUUCAGUGUCUGCGCUAUUUCUCUCCAGAAGUUAUGACCGAUAUCACUGCCUUUAUACUUGUUUUAUACCCCCCGACGAACACACACACACACGCUGCCAUCUGUUGAUGUAGCGCUCUCCGGUAGAUUGUUGUUUCAUCA